rnacentral:rRNA from 1 species
UACAGAGGUCCCAAGCGUUGUUCGGAAUUACUGGGCGUAAAGCGCGCGUAGGCGGCUUUGUAAGUUAGAGGUGAAAGCCCAGGGCUUAACCCUGGAAUUGCCUUUAAGACUGCAUCGCUAGAAUCGUGGAGAGGUGAGUGGAAUUCCGAGUGUAGAGGUGAAAUUCGUAGAUAUUCGGAAGAACACCAGUGGCGAAGGCGACUCACUGGACACGUAUUGACGCUGAGGUGCGAAAGCGUGGGGAGCAAACAGG